rnacentral:lncRNA from 1 species
GUUUUGAAACACAUUGAAAUCGUCCCCCUCGAAUCUUAUUGGCUCUCUUGUUGAAACAGGCCCUGAAGAUUUAUGUUAUACAACGUUUGACAUGUUUUAACGAACCUAAAUGGGAAAAAAUUGUUUUUUUCCGACACGGCUGUCCCGCGGCCGGCAGAGCUUUUGGAUACUGCCUUCAGACGCGCUAACAACAGCAAGCUAAUGGAACAUAAAGGAUGGACUUUUUCGACCGAAAAUACAUCUGUUGUGGACCUGGGAUUCCUGGAAGUGCUUUCUGAUGAAGACAACUAAAGAAUUGGGGGCUCUGAACUAAGCGGAGAAGAAGAUCAGCAUCUAUCCAGAUUCUAGUGUGGAACUGCUAAAACAGAGGGUGAUCUACAACAAGCGCUAAACGAUAACAUCAGUGAUUGGCGACGAGACGUGAUGCCGCACCAGAUCAGCUAGUGCCAGGGUAGAAGUGCCUGUGUGAACCGUGAAGGGGAGAGGCAAUUAAAAGGCACC